GUCAUAUGCUUGUCUCAAAGAUUAAGCCAUGCAUGUCUCAGUACAAGCCAAAUUAAGGUGAAACCGCGAAAGGCUCAUUAAAUCAGUUAUGGUUCCUUAGAUCGUACCCACAAUUACUUGGAUAACUGUGGUAAUUCUAGAGCUAAUACAUGCAAACAGAGCUCCGACCGGAGACGGAAGGAGUGCUUUUAUUAGAUCAAAACUAAUCGGUAGCGGGUUCGCUCGUUAUUGUACGACUUGUUGACUCUGAAUAACUUUACGCUGAUCGCACGGUCAUCGCACCGGCGACGCAUCUUUCAAAUGUCUGCCUUAUCAACUGUCGAUGGUAGGUUCUGCGCCUACCAUGGUUGUAACGGGUAACGGGGAAUUAGGGUUCGAUUCCGGAGAGGGAGCCUGAGAAACGGCUACCACAUCCAAGGAAGGCAGCAGGCGCGCAAAUUACCCACUCCCGGCACGGGGAGGUAGUGACGAAAAAUAACGAUACGGGACUCAUCCGAGGCCCCGUAAUCGGAAUGAGUACACUCUAAACCCUUUAACGAGGAUCAAUUGGAGGGCAAGUCUGGUGCCAGCAGCCGCGGUAAUUCCAGCUCCAAUAGCGUAUAUUAAAGUUGUUGCGGUUAAAAAGCUCGUAGUCGAAUUUGUGUCUCGCGCCGCCGGUUCAUCGUCCGCGGUGUUAACUGGCGAGUCGCGAGACGUCCUGCCGGUGGGCUUAGCUCGCGAGGGCGGCCCAACUCAAUCCUGCCGCGGUGCUCUUCAUUGAGUGUCGAGGUGGGCCGGCACGUUUACUUUGAACAAAUUAGAGUGCUUAAAGCAGGCUAAAACUUCGCCUGAAUACUGCGUGCAUGGAAUAAUGGAAUAGGACCUCGGUUCUAUUUUGUUGGUUUUCGGAACCCCGAGGUAAUGAUUAAUAGGAACGGAUGUGGGCAUUCGUAUUGCGACGUUAGAGGUGAAAUUCUUGGAUCGUCGC
rnacentral:rRNA from 3 species